AGAGUUUGAUCAUGGCUCAGAACGAACGCUGGCGGCAGGCUUAACACAUGCAAGUCGAACGCCCCGCAAGGGGAGUGGCAGACGGGUGAGUAACGCGUGGGAACAUACCCUCCGGUUCGGAAUAGCUCAGGGAAACUUGGAUUAAUACCGAAUACGGCUGAGAGGCGAAAGAUUUAUCGCCGGAGGAUUGGCCCGCGUCC
rnacentral:rRNA from 1 species